AAAUUGAAGAGUUUGAUCAUGGCUCAGAUUGAACGCUGGCGGCAGGCCUAACACAUGCAAGUCGAGCGGAAACGAGUUAUCUGAACCUUCGGGGAACGAUAACGGCGUCGAGCGGCGGACGGGUGAGUAAUGCCUAGGAAAUUGCCUUGAUGUGGGGGAUAACCAUUGGAAACGAUGGCUAAUACCGCAUAAUGCCUACGGGCCAAAGAGGGGGACCUUCGGGCCUCUUGCGUCAAGAUAUGCCUAGGUGGGAUUAGCUAGUUGGUGAGGUAAUGGCUCACCAAGGCGACGAUCCCUAGCUGGUCUGAGAGGAUGAUCAGCCACACUGGAACUGAGACACGGUCCAGACUCCUACGGGAGGCAGCAGUGGGGAAUAUUGCACAAUGGGCGAAAGCCUGAUGCAGCCAUGCCGCGUGUAUGAAGAAGGCCUUCGGGUUGUAAAGUACUUUCAGUUGUGAGGAAGGGGGUGUCGUUAAUAGCGGCAUCUCUUGACGUUAGCAACAGAAGAAGCACCGGCUAACUCCGUGCCAGCAGCCGCGGUAAUACGGAGGGUGCGAGCGUUAAUCGGAA
rnacentral:rRNA from 1 species